rnacentral:rRNA from 1 species
CCUACGGGGGGCAGCAGUGAGGAAUAUUGGUCAAUGGGCGAGAGCCUGAACCAGCCAAGUCGCGUGAAGGAUGACGGCCCUACGGGUUGUAAACUUCUUUUGUCAGGGAGUAAUUGGGUCCACGCGUGGGCUUAGCGAGAGUACCUGAAGAAAAAGCAUGGGGAAACUCCGUGCCAGCAGCCGCGGUAAUACGGAGGAUGCGAGCGUUAUCCGGAUUUAUUGGGUUUAAAGGGUGCGUAGGGGGUAUUUCAAGUCAGGGGUAAAAUUCGGGGCUCAACCCCGUCGUGCCGUUGAAACUGAUGUUCUUGAGUGGGCGAGAAGUAUGCGGAAUGUGGGGUGUAGCGGUGAAAUGCAUAGAUAUCAAGAAGAACUCCGAUUGCGAAGGCAGCAUACCGGCGCCCAACUGACGCUGAAGCACGAAAGCGUGGGUAUCGAACAGGAUUAGAUACCCUAGUAGUC